UCGACUUUAGCUCAGUUGGUAGAGCGGAGGAUUGUAGUAGGAGUACUAAUCUAAGCUGAAAUCCUUAGGUCGCUGGUUCGAAUCCGGCAGGUCGGA
rnacentral:tRNA from 1 species